rnacentral:tRNA from 1 species
GUCGUUGUAGUAUAGUGGUGAGUAUCCCCGCUUGUCACGUGAGAAACCCGGGUUUGAUUCCCGGCAAUGAAG